rnacentral:misc_RNA from 1 species
GAUGAAGAACGUAGCGAAAUGCGAUACCUGGUGUGAAUUGCAGAAUCCCGCGAACCAUCGAGUCUUUGAACGCAAGUUGCGCCCGAGGCCAUCCGGCCGAGGGCACGCCUGCCUGGGCGUCACGCCAAAACACGCUCCCACCCCCCCUCACCGGGGGAGCGGGACGCGGCGUCUGGCCCCCCGUGCCGCGAGGCGCGGUGGGCCGAAGAUCGGGCUGCCGGCGUACCGUGCCGGGCACAGCGCGUGGUGGAUCUCUACUCGGCGCAGUGCACCCGGCGCGUAGCCGGCGCAGCGGCCCCUAAGGACCCAACGAACGGAGCGCGAGCCGCUCCGACCGCGACCCCAGGUCAGGCGGGACUACCCGCUGAGUUUAAGCAUAUCAAUAAGCGGAGGA